AAAUCUGAGCAGGGUUAGCCGGUCCCUAAGGCGAGGCCGAAAGGCGUAGUCGAUGGGAAUCACGUUAAUAUUCGUGAGCCUGGAGGAAGUGACGGAUCAUUACAGUUGUUCAACCUUAUUGGAUUGGUUGGGCUGCCGCGUGGUCCCAGGAAAUAGCUCCUCCUUAUAGUCCGUACCCGAAACCGACACUGGUGGACUGGUAGAGUAUACCAAGGCGCUUGAGAGAACUAUGCUGAAGGAACUCGGCAAAUUGCACGCGUAACUUCGGAAGAAGCGUGACCCUUUUCUACGCAAGUGGAUGAGGGUGGCACAGACCAGGGGGUAGCGACUGUUUAUCAAAAACACAGGGCUCUGCGAAGUCGCAAGACGACGUAUAGGGUCUGACGCCUGCCCGGUGCUGGAAGGUUAAGAGGAGGGGUGCAAGCUCUGAAUCGAAGCCCCAGUAAACGGCGGCCGUAACAAUAACGGUCCUAAGGUAGCGAAAUUCCUUGUCGGGUAAGUUCCGACCUGCACGAAUGGCGUAACGACUUCCCCGCUGUCUCCAGCAUAGACUCAGUGAAAUUGAAUUCCCCGUGAAGAUGCGGGGUUCCUGCGGUUAGACGGAAAGACCCCGUGCACCUUUACUAUAGCUUUACAUUGGCAUUCGUAGUGGCAUGUGUAGGAUAGGUGGUAGGCUUUGAAGCCAGGGCGCCAGCCUUGGUGGAGCCACCCUUGAAAUACCACCCUUAUCUCUAUGGAUGUCUAACCGCGGCCCGUUAUCCGGGUCUGGGACAAUGUAUGGUGGGUAGUUUGACUGGGGCGGUCGCCUCCUAAAGAGUAACGGAGGCGCGCGAUGGUGGGCUCAGAACGGUCGGAAAUCGUUCGCUGAGUGCAAUGGCAUAAGCCUGCCUGACUGCGAGACUGACAAGUCGAGCAGAGACGAAAGUCGGUCAUAGUGAUCCGGUGGUCCCGUGUGGAAGGGCCAUCGCUCAACGGAUAAAAGGUACGCCGGGGAUAACAGGCUGACGACCCCCAAGAGUCCAUAUCGACGGGGUUGUUUGGCACCUCGAUGUCGACUCUUCGCAUCCUGGGGCUGGAGCAGGUCCCAAGGGUAUGGCUGUUCGCCAUUUAAAGCGGUACGUGAGUUGGGUUCAGAACGUCGUGAGACAGUUCGGUCCCUAUCUGCCGUGGGUGUAGGAAUAUUGACAGGAUCUGUCCCUAGUACGAGAGGACCGGGAUGGACGUAUCUCUGGUGGACCUGUUGUGGCGCCAGCCGCAUAGCAGGGUAGCUAUAUACGGACGGGAUAACCGCUGAAGGCAUCUAAGCGGGAAACCCACCUGAAAACGAGUAUUCCCUGAGAGUCGUGGAAGACGACCACGUUGAUAGGCCGGGUGUGGAAGCGCAGCAAUGUGUGAAGCUUACCGGUACUAAUAGCUA
rnacentral:rRNA from 1 species